CCUACGGGAGGCAGCAGUAGGGAAUAUUGCUCAAUGGGGGAAACCCUGAAGCAGCAACGCCGCGUGGAGGAUGAAGGUUUUCGGAUUGUAAACUCCUUUUGUUAGAGAAGAUAAUGACGGUAUCUAACGAAUAAGCACCGGCUAACUCCGUGCCAGCAGCCGCGGUAAUACGGAGGGUGCAAGCGUUACUCGGAAUCACUGGGCGUAAAGAGCGCGUAGGCGGGAUAGCAAGUCAGAUGUGAAAUCCUAUGGCUUAACCAUAGAACUGCAUUUGAAACUGUUAUUCUAGAGUAGGGGAGAGGUAGGUGGAAUUCUUGGUGUAGGGGUAAAAUCCGUAGAGAUCAAGAGGAAUACUCAUUGCGAAGGCAGCGUACCGGCGCCAGACUGACGCUGAGGCACGAAAGCGUGGGGAUCGAACAGGAUUAGAUACCCUUGUAGUC
rnacentral:rRNA from 1 species